UCCAUAAUUUUUCCAGAUCAA
rnacentral:miRNA from 1 species